rnacentral:rRNA from 1 species
UGCCCAAGAGAUCGGGAUAACACCUGGAAACAGAUGCUAAUACCGGAUAACAACAGAUGAUGCCUAUCAACUGUUUAAAAGAUGGUUCUGCUAUCACUCUUGGAUGGACCUGCGGUGCAUUAGCUAGUUGGUAGGGUAACGGCCUACCAAGGCGAUGAUGCAUAGCCGAGUUGAGAGACUGAUCGGCCACAUUGGGACUGAGACACGGCCCGAAACUCCCUACGGGAGGCGAGCAGCC